UCUCUCUUUGAAGGGUUUUUUCAUUGUUUGGGGAGUUUUUCCUGUGCUGAUGUGUGGGUUUCUGGACAGAAGAUGUUGUAUGUGUACAGACUGUUAAGCCAUUUAGAGGCAAAAUAAAGAGGGUUAUAAAAAAAUUAAUUGAAAGACAAUAGAAUUCUGAUGAAUUGUCUUUUCAACCCAAAAUUGUGCAACCUCCACGGACCCCCCGGGGGUCAUCAGUAAAGUAAGAAAGAAAGCUCAGCAGAGUGGUGUCAGGAUGGAUUCUGUGUCAUAGAUGUCAUGUGUACAGAAUGAACUACAUAACAUAUUUACAAAGUAAUAUAAGCCAUGGAGAAGGUGACUUUAGGUUCUAGUGGAACAGACCAGGUCAGAUGUGUGACCUUGGGGGCUUCCAGUCAAGACCAUAUUUGUUUGCCAUUUGGUGCAGUGGGAUUUUCAAACAGUCCAGCAGCAGAGUGAGAGGUCAAAUGGAGCACAGGGUUAGAAAAGGGCCCAUAGUGGAGCAGGCCCACGCCGUAGCCAGGAAUCCUGGGAGUCGUGACCAGAGGAGGGGCAUCAGCAGCAGCACAGGGAGCUGCUAGACCGCCAUCGGCUUCUGUGCCUCCUUGAUCUGGUUAAGUGUAGACAUCCUUCCUUCCAGCCCUGCGACUUACUCACCCGACAGGACAGUUGGAUAAAGAGAUUGUAUUUUUUCACACUCAAGACUGUUGGCCCUGAUCUGGCGUAGGGGGCAAUUGAACGCAGCGUAGCAUCCCUGCGAUGGCAGUUAUAAAAAUAUUUUAUCAUAUUUUUCACAUCUUAAAAUGUGAUGUUAUAGCUUGUUUACCAAUAAAGAACUGCUGCUAAUACA